ensembl:antisense Gm9828 predicted gene 9828
CUUUUCCCCUAUUCUGUCAUGGUAUAGAAGACUUGUAUGAUUUUGAAAAUCACCAAACUGUAAGGAAGACGAUGUUUAUUUUGACCCUUGCUGCACCAGGACUUCAGAUUUUGCUAAUAUUUAUAUACCAGCCUUUUAAAAAACAAUCGAAGGACUUUGUUAUUGUUUUACUUUUCCUCUAGAAGUUACCAUUUGCGGUCUGUCUUCAGGACUACCAUUUCCCACUUGCUCCGGCUGUCUACAGCAAGUGUAAAGGCUUGCCUCCCACCCUUUACUGCUCAUAUAGAACAAUGCAAGAGCUGCUUACUUAGCAUUGUCAACAGAAUUCGAGAAAAAAAAAAAACAUGAUUGCUCUCCUUGAUUCAUAGGACAUGUCUAAACAAAAUAUAUGGUCAUUUUCAUCUCUGACUGGAACUUGAAUUGGCUUCAGCAAGAACCAGCUCACACCUAAGUCAUCAACAAGACUCUUGCAGAUUUCUUCUGGAGAGACAGAAAUAUCUGCAGCCAGGAGGACGGCUGUUGGAGGAAUUCAGGAGCAUUCGACGGAGUCUCCUGUAGUCGGCGAGUGGUCAGUUUUACACAUCCUCCUCAGGACCUCACAGGCAAGAACAGCAGGAUCUGCUUCCUUCAUGAAACCUUGGCUCUGUUCUAUCCAUCGACAGUCCUUCAGGAUACCUAACCUGUCCAGAAACCAAGGUGGGUGGGGGGAUGGACAGUACCACUUACCAUUCUCCCAUCAAUCCAUGACAGAAUUUGCUUUGUCUUCUACAGUGUUAUAC